rnacentral:rRNA from 1 species
GACGAACCGUGCGAACGUUGUUCGGAAUCACUGGGCUUAAAGGGCGCGUAGGCGGGCUGCCAAGUCCGGGGUGAAAGCUUUCGGCUCAACCGGAAAAGUGCCUUGGAUACUGGCGGUCUCGAGGGAGGUAGGGGCAUGUGGAACUUCCGGUGGAGCGGUGAAAUGCGUUGAUAUCGGAAGGAACGCCGGUGGCGAAAGCGACGUGCUGGACCUCUUCUGACGCUGAGGCGCGAAAGCUAGGGGAG